rnacentral:rRNA from 1 species
AGGACGAACGCUGGCGGCGUGCUUAACACAUGCAAGUCGAGCGGAAAGGCCCUUCGGGGUACUCGAGCGGCGAACGGGUGAGUAACACGUGAGCAACCUGCCCUUAGCUUCGGGAUAGCUCCGGGAAACCGGAAUUAAAUACCGAAUAUGACUUUGGCUGACAUCAGCAGAAGUGGAAAGUUUUUCGGCUAGGGAUGGACUCGCGGCCUAUCAGCUAGUUGGUGAGGUAACGGCCCACCAGGGCGACGACGGGUA